rnacentral:rRNA from 1 species
CUUCAAGAGGAUUUGAUCCUGGUCCAGGAUGAACGCUGGCGGCGUGGAUAAGGCAUGCAAGUCGAACGGGUUAGUUUGCGAUUACAUCAAGAACUGAUCAGUGGCGAACGGGUUAGUAACACCUUGGUACAUACCUCAAAGACGGGCAUAACCAGCCGAAAGGUUGGGUAAUUCCCGAUGGUCUCGCAAGAGUAAAUCUCGCAAGAGGCUUUGAGAUUGGCCUAGGUCCUAUCAGCUAGUUGGCGAGGUAAUUGCUCACCAAGGCUAUGACGGGUAGGGGGGCCGAGAGGCUGUUCCCCAACGAUAGCACUGAGACACGGGCUAUACUCCUACGGGAGGCAGCAGUCGUGAAUAUUCGACAAUGGGCGCAAGCCUGAUCGAGCGAUACCGCGUGGUGGAUGAAGUGCUUCGGCACGUAAACAUCUUUU